rnacentral:rRNA from 1 species
GUAGGGAAUCUUCCACAAUGGACGAAAGUCUGAUGGAGCAACGCCGCGUGAGUGAAGAAGGGUUUCGGCUCGUAAAGCUCUGUUGGUAGUGAAGAAAGAUAGAGGUAGUAACUGGCCUUUAUUUGACGGUAAUUACUUAGAAAGUCACGGCUAACUACGUGCCAGCAGCCGCGGUAAUACGUAGGUGGCAAGCGUUGUCCGGAUUUAUUGGGCGUAAAGCGAGUGCAGGCGGUUCAAUAAGUCUGAUGUGAAAGCCUUCGGCUCAACCGGAGAAUUGCAUCAGAAACUGUUGAACUUGAGUGCAGAAGAGGAGAGUGGAACUCCAUGUGUAGCGGUGGAAUGCGUAGAUAUAUGGAAGAACACCAGUGGCGAAGGCGGCUCUCUGGUCUGCAACUGACGCUGAGGCUCGAAAGCAUGGGUAGCGA